GGGCUCUUGGCACAGGGGUAGCGCGCACGCUUCGCAUCUUCAUCGCUUGCGUGAGGUCGUGGGUUCAAUUCCCACAGUGUCCA